CUCCUUUGACGUUAGCGGCGGACGGGUGAGUAACACGUGGGUAACCUACCUAUAAGACUGGGAUAACUUCGGGAAACCGGAGCUAAUACCGGAUAAUAUUUCGAACCGCAUGGUUCGAUAGUGAAAGGUGGUUUUGCUAUCACUUAUAGAUGGACCCGCGCCGUAUUAGCUAGUUGGUAAGGUAACGGCUUACCAAGGCGACGAUACGUAGCCGACCUGAGAGGGUGAUCGGCCACACUGGAACUGAGACACGGUCCAGACUCCUACGGGAGCAGUA
rnacentral:rRNA from 1 species